rnacentral:rRNA from 1 species
CGUAGGUGGCAAGCGUUGUCCGGAUUUAUUGGGUUUAAAGGGUGCGUAGGCGGUUUUCUAAGUCAGCAGUGAAAUACGGCAGCUCAACUGUCGAGGUGCUGUUGAUACUGGGGAACUUGAGUACUGAUGAGGUAGGCGGAAUGGACGGUGUAGCGGUGAAAUGCUUAGAGAUCGUCCAGAACACCGAUAGCGAAGGCAGCUUACUAAGGAGUAACUGACGCUGAGGCACGAAAGUGUGGGGAUCAAACAGGAUUAGAUACCCUGGUAGUCCACACUGUAAACGAUGAUUACUCGAUGUGUGCGAUACACAGCACGCGUCUUAGCAAAAGCGUUAAGUGUUCCACCUGGGAGUACGCCCGCAAGGGUG